rnacentral:rRNA from 1 species
CCUGGGGAGUACGACCGCAAGGUUGAAACUCAAAGGAAUUGACGGGGGCCCGCACAAGCGGUGGAGCAUGUGGUUUAAUUCGAAGCAACGCGAAGAACCUUACCAGGUCUUGACAUCCCAGUGACCGCUCUAGAGAUAGAGUUUUUCUUCGGAACACUGGUGACAGGUGGUGCAUGGUUGUCGUCAGCUCGUGUCGUGAGAUGUUGGGUUAAGUCCCGCAACGAGCGCAACCCUUAUUGUUAGUUGCCAUCAUUCAGUUGGGCACUCUAGCGAGACUGCCGGUAAUAAACCGGAGGAAGGUGGGGAUGACGUCAAAUCAUCAUGCCCCUUAUGACCUGGGCUACACACGUGCUACAAUGGUUGGUACAACGAGUCGCAAGUCGGUGACGGCAAGCAAAUCUCUUAAAGCCAAUCUCAGUUCGGAUUGUAGGCUGCAACUCGCCUACAUGAAGUCGGAAUCGCUAGUAAUCGCGGAUCAGCACGCCGCGGUGAAUACGUUCCCGGGCCUUGUACACACCGCCCGUCACACCACGAGAGUUUGU